AAGCGUUGUUCGGAAUUACUGGGCGUAAAGGGCUCGUAGGCGGCCAACUAAGUCGGACGUGAAAUCCCCAGGCUCAACCUGGGAACUGCGUCCGAUACUGGAUGGCUUGAAUUCGGGAGAGGGAUGCAGAAUUCCAGGUGUAGCGGUGAAAUGCGUAGAUAUCUGGAGGAAUACCGGUGGCGAAGGCGGCAUCCUGGACCGACAUUGACGCUGAGGAGCGAAAGCUAGGGGAGCAAACGGG
rnacentral:rRNA from 1 species